rnacentral:lncRNA from 1 species
GUGGAACACAGGAGCUGCCAGGUCACAGAGAUGAGAGGUCAGAAUUGGCUCCAGGGCAACGGAAGACCAGUGCAGGAUGAAGUCACAGGGAACAGAAACCGGAGCCACAGAGGACAGGGCAACCCAGCCUGCAAGCAAACUGUCCUGCUUUGGACCCUGCUGUGUCACUCUCCGCACCAGCCUUUGCCUCUGCUCUUCGCUCUAUGAAGUCCUCCCAGGCUGCACGGAAGGACGACUUUCUCAGGUAAAGAACCGCAGUCAUCGAACUGGAGUCCCAUUGAUUCCCUCCCCCUCGCCGCCCCAAAUCUGGCACCUGCCCAAGUAAAAAGUUAUGACACCAAGCACAGUGCUCCGAAGGCGGAGGCGGAUGAGCGCGGGAGGUCUCCGUAGGCGACGCCCUCCCACCCCUUCCCUUGUUCUCAUGGCACUCCUAGCUACUGGCAAAGGUAGACGCGCCAGUUUCUGCUGCUCCCCCACGGAAUGGAAGCCCCAGAGGGCAGGGACCUAGUCUGUCACGUCCCAGGCCUCACCCCAGCUCCUCUGAGGCCCGGGUGCUGGGUCGAGGCAUAUGCCGGGCUGCGCGGGUGGCGGGGGAGGGGGAGCCCUGGAGCGCGGCCCCAGUCCUGGGAGGGAGAGGUGUCCUUCGAGGAAAGGGACAGAAGAAAGUUGAGGACAGAGGUCCAAGGGGAAGAAAGAGGGAAAGGAUCGGCGUGAGGAGGACGUCCGGGCGGGGUGGGGAGGGUCCCCCGCGGGGUCGGGCCCACGGGCUUUCUAGGACGCGUCGCCGCUCAGGGCCACGGGUGUGCUGUCAGCUCCCGUCCGGCCGCCCGGACGCUGUAACCUCCUCCGAGGCUGGCCCUUCUGGCUCGAGACAAGCUCGGGCCUGGCACGGAGCAGCAGGAAGGGCGGGAGAUUGCCCCUAGUGGACUCCAAGUCCAGCUCCUGUCCCUGGGCACGUCUCGACACUUGCUGGGUCACGGAGGAAACCGGGUCUUGGACCCCAGCCAGCACGGGCGCCCCCCUCGGCUUCGCUCCCUUUACCCAGCGGUGGCCUCGGAGGCCCGGUUGGGGCGCGCCGCUCACCUGGAGAGGAGGCUAGGGGUCGGGGGACGCGCGCGCCCUUAGGCCCCACUCCUGUCUUCUGCCCUUUUUAUUCUCCCCCGCACCCUGGGGCGGGCGGCGCGGGGCCAGUGUUUGCGAGUGUCACCUGCUUUGGUAAGUAGGUGGGCGAGUGACGCAUCGCGGCGUCGGCGCCGCCUUCCAGGCGCUCUCUCUGCCUCCAGAGGCGCCGGCACUGCGGGGCCCCAGUCAUGCCCGCUGCCUCAGUCUUCCAACCCGAAAAGUGGGUGGGCGAAGGAAAGCUCGGCCGAGCUGCGUCUCCAACUCCCUGCUCUCCCCUAGGGGAGCCCACCAGCUCCAAUCGCGACCUCUUCUGUCCCCAAACCACAGACCCUAGGCCGCCUCGGGGACCCGGAUAUGGAAGGGGCGGUGGAGAGCCCUGGCCUUGAUUCUCCCUGGGUCGGGAGGGCGUUCCGGCGGCCGUGGGGCUGCAGCCCUUCCUCCCCGCCUGGAAGGUGAGGGUGUGGGAGGAGCGGGAGGGGGCGAGGCCGACCCAAGUCCCGUGCGACCAGCGGCGGAGCCCAGAGCCAGGCUAGGAGCGCGCUCAGGCGAGCUCGGGUGAAGGCCGAGAAGGUUCAUCGGAGGCGGCGGCGAGCCGAGACCAGGAGACAGACGGGGCGGGGUGACGAGGCGGGCCCCACCCCAGGAGCGCGGGGCCACACGGACACCGG